rnacentral:lncRNA from 1 species
UGCAAGAUGUAGUAUAGUAUUGCCAUCAGAAUCUUUAGUGUUUACAAACUCAUGAUCACCCAUAGUCUCUAUUAACAACUUCAAAACCUCUAGUUGGUUAUACUUCACACACAAGUGCAAGAUGGUCUCCUGCUGCACCAUGGCUCUAGCCGCAUGAGCUUGAGCUUGCACCAGCACUUUCACAACUUCACAGUGUCCUUUAACAGCUGCAACAUGAAGCGCGUUUCUCCCAUCGCGGUCGCGUGCAGUACAAGUCUCGGGGUUAGCCGAUAACAACGCUUUGACUAUAUCCACAUGGCCUUUAGCAGAUGCUAUAUGAAGCGGCAAGCGUCUUUGCGAAUCGCAUUCCAUACAAAGUUUCGGCUUUCGGGUUAGGAUCUCUUUCACAAAAUCAAUGUGUCCAAGCAUAGAUGCAAUAUGUAGAGGCAUGUCAUCAUGUUGGUUUAGGGUAGCUUUAUCAAGAAUUAGUGGAUCGUUUUGGAGCAACAUUUGCAAGAUGUUUAUGUUUCCUUCUAGUGAUGCUUCAUAAAGAAGUUUCUCCAUUCUCUCCAUGUUUCUCAAAUGCAGAAAAUAGAAAGGUGAGAGAUUUGUUCCAACUGAAGCUUCUUUGA